UUGCUUCUCUGAUGUUAGCGGCGGACGGGUGAGUAACACGUGGAUAACCUACCUAUAAGACUGGGAUAACUUCGGGAAACCGGAGCUAAUACCGGAUAAUAUUUUGAACCGCAUGGUUCAAAAGUGAAAGACGGUCUUGCUGUCACUUAUAGAUGGAUCCGCGCUGCAUUAGCUAGUUGGUAAGGUAACGGCUUACCAAGGCAACGAUGCAUAGCCGACCUGAGAGGGUGAUCGGCCACACUGGAACUGAGACACGGUCCAGACUCCUACGGGAGGCAGCAGUAGGGAAUCUUCCGCAAUGGGCGAAAGCCUGACGGAGCAACGCCGCGUGAGUGAUGAAGGUCUUCGGAUCGUAAAACUCUGUUAUUAGGGAAGAACAUAUGUGUAAGUAACUGUGCACAUCUUGACGGUACCUAAUCAGAAAGCCACGGCUAACUACGUGCCUGCAGCCGCGGUAAUACGUAGGUGGCAAGCGUUAUCCGGAAUUAUUGGGCGUAAAGCGCGCGUAGGCGGUUUUUUAAGUCUGAUGUGAAAGCCCACGGCUCAACCGUGGAGGGUCAUUGGAAACUGGAAAACUUG
rnacentral:rRNA from 1 species